CACCGAAUAUUCCACAAUGGGCGAAAGCCUGAUGGAGCGACGCCGCGUGUGGGAGGAAGCCCUUCGGGGUGUAAACCACUGUCAGGGAUCACCAAGCGACCGGGGUGAACAGCCUCGGAAGUUGAGGAGUCCCAGAGGAAGUCACGGCUAACUUCGUGCCAGCAGCCGCGGUAAGACGAAGGUGGCGAGCGUUGUUCGGAAUUACUGGGCUUAAAGAGCACGUAGGUGGGCUAGCGAGCGUCUUGUGAAAGCCCCCGGCUCAACCGGGGAAUUGCAGGGCGAACUGCCAGCCUUGAGGCAGGUAAGGGCGAGUGGAACUCUUGGUGGAGCGGUGGAAUGCGUAGAUAUCAAGAGGAACGCCGGAGGUGAAGACGACUCGCUGGGCCUGUCCUGACACUGAGGUGCGAAAGCCAGGGGAGCAAACG
rnacentral:rRNA from 1 species